rnacentral:tRNA from 1 species
CGGGCUAUAGCGCAGCUGGUUAGCGUACUUGUCUGGGGGGCAAGGGGUCACCGAUUCAAAUUCGGUUAGCCCGA